AGAGUUUGAUCCUGGCUCAGAUUGAACGCUGGCGGAAUGCUUUACACGUGCAAGUCGAACGGUAACAGCAGAGCUUGCUCUGGCUGACGAGUGGCGGACGGGUGAGUAAUAUAUCGGAACGUGUCCAAUAAUGGGGGAUAACUAGCCGAAAGGUUGGCUAAUACCGCAUACGCCCUGAGGGGGAAAGCUGGGGAUCUUCGGACCUGGCGUUAAUGGAGCGGCCGAUACCUGAUUAGCUAGUAGGUGGGGUAAAAGCCUACCUAGGCAACGAUCAGUAGCUGGUCUGAGAGGACGACCAGCCACACUGGGACUGAGACACGGCCCAGACUCCUACGGGAGGCAGCAGUGGGGAAUUUUGGACAAUGGGGGCAACCCUGAUCCAGCCAUUCCGCGUGAGUGAAGAAGGCCUUCGGGUUGUAAAGCUCUUUCGCAAGAGAAGAAACGAUAUAGGUUAAUAGCCUAUGUUAAUGACGGUAUCUUGACAAGAAGCACCGGCUAACUACGUGCCAGCAGCCGCGGUAAUACGUAGGGUGCAAGCGUUAAUCGGAAUUACUGGGCGUAAAGCGUGCGCAGGCGGUUUGGUAAGUCAGAUGUGAAAUCCCCGAGCUCAACUUGGGAACUGCGUUUGAAACUACCAGACUAGAAUAUGUCAGAGGGGGGUAGAAUUCCACGUGUAGCAGUGAAAUGCGUAGAGAUGUGGAGGAAUACCAAUGGCGAAGGCAGCCCCCUGGGAUAAUAUUGACGCUCAUGUACGAAAGCGUGGGGAGCGAACAGGAUUAGAUACCCUGGUAGUCCACGCCCUAAACGAUGUCAACUAGUUGUUGGUGGAGUAAAAUCCAUGAGUAACGUAGCUAACGCGUGAAGUUGACCGCCUGGGGAGUACGGUCGCAAGAUUAAAACUCAAAUGAAUUGAC
rnacentral:rRNA from 1 species